AUGAACGCUGGCGGCGUGCUUAACACAUGCAAGUCGAACGGAAAGGCCCUGCUUGCAGGGUACUCGAGUGGCGAACGGGUGCGUAACACGUGGGUGAUCUGCCCUGCACUUCGGGAUAAGCCUGGGAAACUGGGUCUAAUACCGGAUAGGAGCCAUUUUUAGUGUGAUGGUUGGAAAGUUUUUUCGGUGUAGGAUGAGCUCGCGGCCUAUCAGCUUGUUGGUGGGGUAAUGGCCUACCAAGGCGGCGACGGGUAGCCGGCCUGAGAGGGUGGACGACCACAUUGGGACUGAGAUACGGCCCAGACUCCUACGGGAGGCAGCAGUGGGGAAUAUUGCACAAUGGGCGCAAGCCUGAUGCAGCGACGCCGCGUGGGGGAUGACGGCCUUCGGGUUGUAAACUCCUUUCGCUAGGGACGAAGCUUUUGUGACGGUACCUAGAUAAGAAGCACCGGCUAACUACGUG
rnacentral:rRNA from 1 species